GCCGUGCGUUCCUCACCUCUCGCAACCCUCCAGCGCCGCCCCUAUCUGCCGUCUCUUCUAUGCGUAGACGCGCCGGCCGGACUCCAAGCGCGGUCACCUCCACCAUCUACGUGCUUCGCUGCCCACGGCAGCCCGCUCGCUGCAGCCAUGCUCCCCACGCCUCGCCUGUCCCGACAGCCCUCUCAGACUUCCUCUCUCGGGCCACAACACAACGGCGGCGGCGGCGUACAGCGGGAGUAGGCGGAGCAGGAAGACCCCUCUCCCACACGUCUCUCCCUCGACCUCCCUCAGCAGCGUCGCAACUUCUCAGCCACGGCCUCUACCCGCUGGCGGCUGGUGGCGGAAGCGAGCCGCCUGCCACAUGCCUCCUCCGCCUUUGCCGUCCUUUGAUCCCCAGCACCCUGCCUACCUUGGCCGCCGCCACCUCUCUCUCUCUCUCUCUCUCUCUCUCUCUCUCUCUGAUCCAAUUCUUACUUUUUGAUGUGCUACUUCUGUUCAUGUGGAUGGGUCGCUGAUUCAAAUCCUCCUAUUUGAAGUGUGGUUGUACAAAAAUAUGAAUCCUCUUUUUUCAGUGACCAAUAGGUGUUUGUGUUAAUGCGUAGGAAGAGAAACCAAGCUGAUUGUGUUUCGAAUAUUUUGAUAUUAAGAUGUUCUGCAACAUUUACUCUUAUAGUCUUCCUAGAAUAUCACUGAAGGCUAAGAAUGUUGUUCGCCGCUGCCCACCGUGAUCUCUGAUGCGUUUCGUUGGGGGCCCGACACGACGAAGGAGAAGCCCUGUUCCCAGGCAUUCCCAGAUCGCGGGGUCUGAUGCCCAAGGCGCAUGGGGAGAUGUUGCCGGCGGUGUGGUGGACUGCGAGGACGAGGAGCUUGGGCUGCUAUUUGACUACUUCCGUGUACAACAGCGAUCUAUGUGAGGCGCACCAUCGACUUCUGCUAGGUGGUGGAAGAAUCGGUGGUGGAGGCGGAUUGUGUUGGAAAGUGAGCAGCGGCGCUAUCAAACGGUAGCAUGGGCAUUUUGCCGCCUCUGCUCACCGUUGAGGACGCAGCAGCAAGGUUAGUAUACCAACUUGAUGAAAUGGCUUAACAGAGUGAUGAGAAAAAUCGAAUGAGCUCGGGAGCAGAACAUGACUUCCGCUAAGAUACUUCCUAUUAAUCUUCUCUGGGUGGAAGAUCUACUUCAGUGAUGAAGUACCCAUUGUUCCUGAACAUAAUAUUAUGAACUGUAUGGACUUGCGUACAUAUGUUUCUAUUUAACUUUAGCGCUGGACAUGUACGUUGUCUGUCUUCUCUAUAAUUCGAAAGUGAAAUAUUUACAACUUUAUUUAAUGAUGUCAAAAGGUAUGACGAUGUAUUUCUGUCCUUUCUCAAAAUUGAGGCACUGAAGUGGAUUGAGCAGAGGGACACUCUGACUUUAUGAGUGUCUUGAUCAUUUUGCAUAUCAAGAAAGUUGAAAAAGAGAAAUUCUAUGUUCUCUUUGCGCUUAGUUUACUACGUUUAAUCUGCUGAUAUAGGUAUUGGCCUGCCAGAUCUCUUGCAUUGCAAUCUAUAUGAAAGAAAGUUGAGAGUGUUUCUUGAAGGACAAUGGCACCAGUGCACAGAACAAUUGGCCCGGCCUUCCAAAGAACCAUGAUGUAAAAGAAACAAUCUUGAGAGGCACUGCCCAUGGUUCAGUUUUCAUUGAAAAUGAAACCAAGUCCAUGAUGUAUAAUCAGGCAGCAUAAGGUAAUUAUUCAUUGGUAGGCAGUACUUACAUUCCCUUAUUUGUUAUGAUUUCUAAGGAUUUUAAAAUUCUUGGCACAAUUUUUCUAUGGUUUUUAGUUGUUUUGUGUUGUUCAGACCUUAGAUUAGAAGUGCUGCUUCUUCGGAAGCACUAACUUGCUUUUCACAUUUACUAUGACAAAUAAUUUUGCUGAUUAGGAUAUGAGAAUAGAAGAUAUAACUUGGUAGGCUCUAAGUGCAGAACCUAUUAAGCAUUGAAGGAUGGUAAAUCUGUGAGUGUGUCGGGGCUGCUGGAAUUGAAGGAGGACAGUAGAAGCAAUCAAAAGGAGAAUUGUUAGAUAUAGUUUUAUUUUGGAUAUGAUUCGUUUUAUCCAAGACAUGGCUGUUGGAGGCUACUAGCCAACCAUCCAACUUUAACAAAGAUACAUGUAUCUGUUGUAGGCGAGCACUUCUCAUUGACUUGCCUUUGGAACAACACUACUCUACAUAUAAACCUUGUAAGCGCCUGGCUUAGACCAGUUGUGUAGGUAGGUAUACAGUAAAAUUGUUAAGACACUAUACUCCCUGUGAUAUAAUUACUUGAAUGGGAACCAUGUUUAGUUAUCUAAUUUAAUGGAAGUCGGUACGUACCACUAUGAUGCUAAGUUGUUCCAUGAUUGUGGCAUGUGCCAUUCUUUAGAAAAAUAUGAUCGUAUUCUCCAUGGUGACUGCAACUUGACGCCGUCAAAGUUGCCUCUCUUCCUUCCCUCUGUCUUUGGUACGGGUCCACUUCUCUUUUCUUCCCUGCUUGGUCAUCUCUUUUUUACUGGCUUUAUCUCCCUCAGGAGCUAGAUUAACGAACAAUGCUGGAAGCCCUGCUUUGAAAGAGACGGGUAAUUUAUCAUGCUCUUUGUGAUUUGAACUAGAUUUUUAAGGCUUCAAAUUCUCAUGUUCUUGAUUUGUCUUUCUUUUUGUUCAUUUCAACGGUGUGAUUAUUUAUCUCAGCGUGCAGAGUAUCUUAGUUGCAAUUCUAUAUCGAAGGCCAGUGAUUAUAUUGAUGAGGUUGAG